UACGUAGGGUGCGAGCGUUAAUCGGAAUACUGGGCGUAAAGCGUGCGCAGGCGGUGAUGUAAGACCGAUGUGAAAUCCCCGGGCUUAACCUGGGAACUGCAUUGGUGACUGCAUUGCUGGAGUAUGGCAGAGGGGGGUGGAAUUCCACGUGUAGCAGUGAAAUGCGUAGAGAUGUGGAGGAACACCGAUGGCGAAGGCAGCCCCCUGGGCCAAUACUGACGCCUCAUGCACGAAAGCGCGGGGAGCAAACAGG
rnacentral:rRNA from 1 species